rnacentral:rRNA from 1 species
UACGAAGGGGGCGAGCGUUGUUCGGAUUUACUGGGCGUAAAGCGUGCGUAGGCGGUUCGUUAAGUCCGUUGUGAAAGCCCUGGGCUCAACCUGGGAAUGGCAGUGGAUACUGGCGAGCUAGAGUGUGAUAGAGGAUGGUGGAAUUCCCGGUGUAGCGGUGAAAUGCGUAGAGAUCGGGAGGAACACCAGUGGCGAAGGCGGCCAUCUGGAUCAACACUGACGCUGAGGCACGAAAGCGUGGGGAGCAAACAGG